rnacentral:lncRNA from 1 species
CUCUGGCUGCCUCCUGGGCUGUGUCCAGAUUGAUGCCCAGCCUCUCCUCUAGACCGUAGACCCCUGGCCCCAAUAGGAGUCUCCAAGAGGGUCCCUGUGAAACCUCUAGACUCCUGGCCUCCAGUUUCGGAGAUGGCCUCAAGUGGAUCCUGGCCCUCACCUCCUGAGCUCCUCCCUAGCUUGCCCAUCACACUCAGCUGUGGCUG